GAAAGUGUAGCUCUGUGGAAGAGCACUUGCCUAGCAUGUAGGAAAUCUUGGGUUUGAUCCUCAGCACCUCCC
rnacentral:tRNA from 1 species